rnacentral:rRNA from 1 species
UACGUAGGGUGCGAGCGUUGUCCGGAAUUAUUGGGCGUAAAGGGCGCGUAGGCGGCCUGCUAAGUCGAACGUGAAAUCCCUGGGCUCAACCCAGGAACUGCAUUUGAAACUCCCUUUCUUGAGUGUCGGAGAGGAAAGCGGAAUUCCUGGUGUAGAGGUGAAAUUCGUAGAUAUCAGGAGGAACACCGGUGGCGAAGGCGGCACUCUGGGCCGAUACUGACGCUGAGGAGCGAAAGCGUGGGGAGCGAACAGG